UACGUAGGGGGCUAGCGUUGUCCGGAUUUAUUGGGCGUAAAGAGCGUGUAGGCGGCCAGAUAGGUCCGUUGUGAAAACUCGAGGCUCAACCUCGAGACGCCGAUGGAAACCAUUUGGCUAGAGUCCGGAAGAGGAGAGUGGAAUUCCUGGUGUAGCGGUGAAAUGCGCAGAUAUCAGGAAGAACACCCGUGGCGAAAGCGGCUCUCUGGGACGGUACUGACGCUGAGACGCGAAAGCGUGGGGAGCAAACAGG
rnacentral:rRNA from 1 species